CUAUGCGGAAAUCUCGUGGCUGGUUGCUCGGUUGCUCCUCGGCGCGAUGGGAGGCCACACACUACGGGGCUUGCUCUAUGGAACAUAUGGAUGUUUUAAUCUCCUGUCAGUCACCUAGAGCCCCGGAAGCAAGACAAGUGGCUGUGUUUGCAUACAAGGACCACCUCCCCUGCCAGGUCACUUGGAGGUCCCAGGUGAAGCAAAGGCUGCCAACAUUAAGCAAUGCACCGCACCCUUGAAGAGGUUUACGGAGAGAUCAUUUCUUAGGCUGGAAGAGACAAAGGUUUUCAUAAACUGACUUCUACAGGAACACUCCAUGAUUAGAAUGCAUGGAAAUGUAACUUCAGCUAUGUGACUAGGGUGAAAUAACAUGUUCCACCAAUUGAAAUGGAUAUUUGCAAUAUACUGAAACAAAAAUGGACCAGUCAGAGUGCACAAGUCACCAUCCCCUCUCCCGAGGUUCACAUUAUUUGGUCAAGAAGACAGGUAAGAAAACCAUACCUGUUUUAUAUCUAUCCAUCCAUUCACAUAUAUAGAUAUAUAGAUAUCUCAUGACUAUUAAAGCUGCAGGAGCCCUGUUCUUUUGGCAUCUGGCCAACAUAUUCCUGGCUGUUUUAUCUUCUAGUAUUAAAGUCCAUUGCAUACUGGAGAGAUUCCUCAUUUUAAAGCCUGCUGUGAGUAUCUUUCUGCCUGCUUCUGCCUUCAAGCUAAUUAUUAUGUUCCAGUAAAAAUAUCUCCAUCCCUCCCGACUGGGUAUUUUCUUCAUGUCUGGAUUACAACUCCCAUAAUCUUCAACUAAAUCCUGCGGCUGGGGACUAUCAUGGAAAUGGAGUACCACAAAGCUCCCAGUAAGCAAGUUGAGAAAGGCUAAACUACUGCGAUGAAAAGUACCCUAAUUUCUCCAGCCAGAGCGAAGCUGUUUCUUUAGCACACAACUGGGACAACAAAUCAUUCUGCUCCCAUUUGCUCUGAGGCCUGGUACCAAGAGAAGAGAUGUUGACAAACUUUUCAGGAAGGGCUUCUGGGCUUUAAACAUCUGUCGGACAGCCAGAAAUAAGGUAGCAAUGUAGUGCAAUUUAUUUCUAGGCUUAGCUGCUGAGAAACAAAUCAUCUGCUAAGUUUUUGCUCGUUGUGAAAUUAUAAAAAGUGAAACUACUGUGCCAGAGAAAAAAUAAAUAUGGUUAGUGGAAUAUUGCUUCUGAUCAUUGAAAAUCCAAAAAGUCUGCACAUUAGAUGGUUUGGUUCUCAGAAGAUCUUAUUCCCAAUUUUAAUCUUUGGUGGGAUUUGUCCCUCUUUCACUGGGCAGGAUCAUUCUCUGGUUGCAUCAAUAUCCAACAAGACCUAGUAGGUGUUUCUGAACAUUAAUAAAACUAGGUAAGUCGAAUAUCAGCAUCAUCCUGAAUCCACCCUUUUUUUCUCAUCUCAGAUACUUUGGAAAUGAGAAUUCAAACUUUUUCCUUAUGGUGCAAGAUUAAUGUACUGAACUGUACAUGAAACUCAAUGUAUGACUUUCCUAAGCCUGUCAUCAUAUCUCAGUUUAAUCUAUCAUACAAGGUUGUUUUUAAGAUAAAACCAGGAAGGAAAAAUGUAGGAUGCUCUUGAGGAAAUCUCAGUUUUAAUCUGUUGGAUGAAGCUAUUUUUUAUUGUAAUGUGAAUCAGGCAUUGUUUUUACGACACUUUAUUUGUGCCUCACCCUCAUUAUUUUUACAAGUAACUCAAAGUGGUGAACAUAUCCAACACGCCUUCCUCCUAUUUUCCCCACAACAAUCACCCUGUGAGGUAGGCUUGGCUGAGAGAAAGUAAUAGGUCCAAAGUCAGCCCAUUGACUUUCAUGACUAAGAUUGCAUUAGAACUCACAGUCUCCUGUUUUCUAGCCUGGUAUUGUCUGCAUCAUUUGAGCUUAUGUGGGGAGAGCUUUUGGAGGCAUGGGUUUCCUGAUAGGUACAACGUUGAUCAUCUUGGAAAUGAAGAGCAAGUAAGGCUUAUCUCCCUUGUUAAACAAGAUGGUGGUCUGUGGUGAAACCCUCAGGUGUCACUGUGUCAAGUGAAGACUUGAAUUUUCCAGUCAUUUAAAAUAAAAUCUUCACCUGCCUAGUGCAUCACCAUUUCUCUUGGGUCAGCUAUCUGGCUGCAUUGCAGUAAAAUCUAACAGUGAAAUGCUGACAUUCUUCCUAGAGUGGGACAGAAUAAGAAUUAUGCUAUCUUCACUCAGCCCAAGAUAUAUUAUAAUAGAGAUUUCACAAUAGAGAUGGAAGAGAAGAUGGAUUCGGCUACAACCUUCCUAGCCCAAAGGAGGUGAUUCUUUAGGCACAAGUCAUCACAAUUGUUGUUGUUAUUUUCUUUUUUUAAAAACCCACCUCAACAGAUAAUGUAAUGGAUGUCUCAUUGGCUGUGUCUGUAAAUCAUUCUAAACCAUAGCAUAGGUUAUUUUUAGAAGAAUGUGAUGUAGGAAAGGAGUUGGUGAAUAAAACAUGUUUUAGGUAAUAAACAACUGAAAUUAUAGUUUGCUGCUAACUUGCUGGUUGCAGGUAGGAUUUGUAUGAUGUACAGUUUAUAGCUUCCUGGUUUAUUUGCCCCACCCAAGCAUAUAAUUAACUCACAAAGAGGCAAAGCAAGAAUAGUUUCAUAAUAAAAGAAGAAGAAAAACCAACGAGGGAAAUAAAUCAUUUACCCAUAUGGAAAAGCAUUAGUAACUUAUUUCUGGCUAUUUCAAUGUUGUAAAUGAGCUAACCAACUCAUAUACUGGAUAUGGUUCCUUUUCCUAUUUUAUUCAGUCUAAGCCUUGGCUGCCUGGAGAGGAAACAAUUUUCUUCCACCACUGAAUUUUUUGGCUAGACUGCAGGAAAAACUGCAUUUGGAAGUGUGAAACUCCAUGUUUGUUCCAGCCACGUUGGGAACUCAUGCAUAGCAUUUACUGCCUUGAUAGUUCUUGUCACUUUUCUUCAUUGGUCUCAUGACCACCCAGCUAUGUCACAAAGCUUGGGCAACAAACUCACUUUUUGGAGGAGUCUACUCAAAGACAAUAUAGUUAGAUGGAGCAAAGCCAUGCAGCGCAAAGAACAAGUUUGCAGUUAACUUCUAUGGUGGUAUUAUGGAAAAGAGGCAGAAAGAAUUGCAGCUACAGUAUAUUGGAGAGAAGAAAGGGUAGUAGGAGGUCUUAAAUAAGAGAAGAUUGGUAAUAGUCUUCUUUCAGCCAUAUGUUGACUGCCUCAACCAAAUGACAUCUCCAUUUUACAAGAUAAGUUUUUCAUUAAGGUAGAUUCUUCUUCUCUCCAUCAGUACCUACUCCUGUUCUUCUGAAAACCACAUGAGAAUGCUGCCUGUAGGGCAAGUUGCAACCCACUGUUAUAGUUGUCCAAUGUGAUACUAACCUAGAUAAAUACCAAGCAAUAUUUCAUUUUUGCCUGCCUUUGACUUGUUGAAUUGCUAUGUAAACUCAGUGAUAAAAAAAAUGUCAAUAAUGUAUGUUGGCCAGAAAACCAAGAGCAAUAUUGCCAUAUAUUGCCAAGACUGUUAUGCUGUUUCAGGGACUUUUAGAGGAAUGAAAAGAACCAUUUGAACUUUAAUCUAUAUUUGGACUUUAGUAAACCAAAUAGCAAAUGGUAAAUUUGUGCAAAAGAAACUGAGUAAAUGAAGAGCUGUAAAUAUCUAAGAGGUUGCUUUUUAGGGUACUGGCCUCUGAAAGUCUUAGAUGAGUUUGCUGUGGCCAGAAAAAAUAUGAUAGUAAUACUCCAAGACUUUCAUUCUGAAAAGGGAUAUGACUUACAUAUACCCAUUAUAUAUUAUUUGAACUAAGGCUUUGACCCAACCACUGAAUGGCUUUCACAUCUGUCUAUACCAUAAUUUUGUACAGUUGGAAAGGAUAUAACUUACCGUACAUUUCUUUGAAGUGCUAUUUCUGUGUGUGGGUGCCCUCUACAGAUGGAAUCAGGCUUAAGAAAACUGAACCCAGAGCUGUCCAAUGGGGUUGUCUGCAUUCCACAUUGGGAAUGCAGAAGGGAGGUGCUGGCCCAAAAUGUUUUUUCAAGAGGCAACUGGACUUCCUUUGUUUUUCCUUGAAGACGUUUCACUUCUCAUCCAAGAA